rnacentral:rRNA from 1 species
GACGAACGCUGGCGGCGUGCCUAAUACAUGCAAGUAGAACGCACAGUUUAUACCGUAGCUUGCUACACCAUAAACUGUGAGUUGCGAACGGGUGAGUAACGCGUAGGUAACCUGCCUGGUAGCGGGGGAUAACUAUUGGAAACGAUAGCUAAUACCGCAUAAUAUUAAUUAUUGCAUGAUAAUUGAUUGAAAGAUGCAAUUGCAUCACUACCAGAUGGACCUGCGUUGUAUUAGCUAGUAGGUGAGGUAACGGCUCACCUAGGCGACGAUACAUAGCCGAGCUGAGAGGGUGAGCGGCCAAACUGGGACUGAGACACGGCCCAGACUCCUGCGGGAGGCAGCAGUAGGGAAUCUUCGGCAAUGGACGAAAGUCUGACCGAGCAACGCCGCGGGGGUGAAGAAGGUUUUCGGAUCGUAAAGCUCUGUUGUAAGGGAAGAACGGGUGUGAGAGUGGAAAGUUCACACUGUGACGGUAUCUUACCAGAAAGGGACGGCUAACUACGUG